rnacentral:rRNA from 1 species
CGGUGAAGCGGGUGCUUGCACUCGUGGAUCAGUGGCGAACGGGUGAGUAACACGUGAGUAACCUGCCCUCCACUCUGGGAUAAGCGCUGGAAACGGCGUCUAAUACUGGAUACGACCGACCCUCGCAUGGGGUGUUGGUGGAAAGAUUUAUCGGUGGUGGAUGGACUCGCGGCCUAUCAGCUUGUUGGUGGGGUAAUGGCCUACCAAGGCGACGACGGGUAGCCGGCCUGAGAGGGCGACCGGCCACACUGGGACUGAGACACGGCCCAGACUCCUACGGGAGGCAGCAGUGGGGAAUAUUGCACAAUGGGCGAAAGCCUGAUGCAGCGACGCCGCGUGAGGGAUGACGGCCUUCGGGUUGUAAACCUCUUUCAGCAGGGAAGAAGCUUUUGUGACGGUACCUGCAGAAGAAGCACCGGCUAACUACGUGCCAGCAGCCGCGGUAAUACGUAGGGUGCGAGCGUUGUCCGGAAUUAUUGGGCGUAAAGAGCUUGUAGGCGGUUUGUCGCGUCUGCUGUGAAAAUUCAGGGCUUAACCCUGGACGUGCAGUGGGUACGGGCAGACUAGAGUAUGGUAGGGGAGACUGGAAUUCCUGGUGUAGCGGUGGAAUGCGCAGAUAUCAGGAGGAACACCGAUGGCGAAGGCAGGUCUCUGGGCCAUUACUGACGCUGAGAAGCGAAAGCAUGGGGAGCGAACAGGAUUAGAUACCCUGGUAGUCCAUGCCGUAAACGUUGGGCGCUAGGCGUGGGUCUCAUUCCACGAGAUCCGUGUCGCAGCUAACGCAUUAAGCGCCCCGCCUGGGGAGUACGGCCGCAAGGCUAAAACUCAAAGGAAUUGA